GUGCUCACUUCAGCAGCACAUAUACUAAAAUUGGAACGAUGCAGAGAAGAUUAGCAUGGCCCCUGCACAAGAAUGACAGACAAAUUUGACAGACAUAUUUUACAAUA
rnacentral:snRNA from 1 species